rnacentral:lncRNA from 1 species
GUUCUUGGAAAGUUAUGAGUAGCUGGCAGGACUUGCAGCCCACAUACUCAGGUAUGCAAGAAAUAAAAUUAUCUCUAGCCCCUCAAAUCAUGUCAUUCUGACUCAGAACUCCUGCCCCCAACUAAAUGCAUGUGAAACACCAUCCUGGCAUUACUGGGGGUCCCUCCGCCACAGCAUCUCGGAGAGUUUGUAGGGGGUAGGGGCAGUGGGGGCAGGGGUGCCUAAACUCCAUAUUCUGAAGCUCAGUGUUUGGAUCUCUGGACUCCUCACACAUGGACCUCUGAUCCUACCACCUUCCUGGAUAUGCCACUGCUGCCUGGCAAUGUCAGCCUUCCAUCUGAGGCCGACACUUCCCAUGACCCUUCUGGCCAGCCUGGGGCACAGCAUUCACUCCCCUGUCUUCCCAGCACUGGGUGCAAUGUCCAACCUGCAUAGGCCCCUGGGGAAGUAAAAUCAGGCAACUGAAGUCUCUUGCAGACAAAUUCUUCUUUUUCCCUGCCACCCUCCACCAAUAUAAGGAAGCAUGGAGCUUGUCUAUUAGUUUAAGUGGGAAAAGUGAAGGGGAGAGGGACCAGAGGAAAAUACAGAAAUCAAUAUCUCCCAAAUUAGCAUGACACUUAUAGUAUGCACAGAACAGACCCCAGGGGGGAGAUGCAGGAGUUUGCUUUUAUGGUAGGAGUCAAGGGUUGCUGAUGGAAGAUUCUAUAGUUUAGAGUCUUUCAAAGUGUUUUUCUACCUAAAAUUUCCAGCAUUGAAAAUGCAAAUGGUAUUUUGUCUCCAGGAAAGGCUGUUACAUCAAGUCAACAACAUCUGUAGUCAGCACUGUAGCAUGUUACCAUCACAGAAGAUGAGAGUCUCUUCAUCAUGCAGCAAAGCAUAGAAGGAGGUAGGACAACUGGAUGGAGAGGUCAGGAGACAGCUUUAAAAUACUGUAUUCAGUGUGCCCCCCCCCCCCGCCACCCCCGGUGGCUCAGCGGUUUAGCACCGCCUUCAGCCCAGGAUGUGAUCCUGGAGACCUGGGAUCGAGUCCCACGUCGGGCUCCCUGCAUGGAGCCUGCUUCUCCCUCUGCUUCUCCCUCUGCCUGUCUCUCUCCCUCUCUCUCUGUGUGUCUCUCAUGAAUAAAUAAAUAGAAUCUUUAAAAAAUAAAAUAAAAUAAAAUAUUGUAUUCA